rnacentral:ncRNA from 2 species
UAAGAGGGAACCCGGUGGGAAUCCGGGACUGCCCCGCAGCGGUGAGCGGGAACGACCGCCGUCAUACGCACUGGGACCGGGGAACGCGACGGUCCUGGGAAGCGACGGCCAGUAGGUGCCCGUCGGCAGAGCAGGAGAGCCGGCAGGCGUGCCCGUGAGUCCGAAGACCU